AUGCAGAGCAGUUACUACAUUAGGACCCACAAUGACUAUGUAUACCAGGGCCUGGGAGAUUGCUCUGUUCAAAGAACUCACAGACACUUUGAUAGGCUUAACUUAAGACCUCUUGGAAUUUUUAGCAACAUCCAAGGUAUGAGAAGCUUGUGUAUUCCAAAAUGCAUUUGCCCAUUUUGAGUUGGCCAAACUGAGUUGGCAUGUUCUUGAUGAAGUUUGCUGUGGAAGUGGGCCAACUUCCUGCUUAGCUUGGGUAAUCAGUACUCUUGGCUGGGGAGAUUUUCCUCAACUCUGGAGGAUGCCUUGGGGUAUGUGUAUAAGGAAAAAUUCUCUUGUUAAGGAUUUUCAAGUCCUAUUAUACUUUCAGAGAAAGAGGUUAAACUGGUCUUUAUUUUGUAGUAAGUUUUGAAAUUAGAAGUGGGUUCUCCUACUUUUUUCUUCUUUUUUUUCAUAAUUAUUUUGACUAUUAUGGGUUUCUUUACCAUCUGAGCCACCAGGGAAGCCCUAUUAUGGGUUUCUUUCAAAUCAAUAUGAAUUUCAGAAUCAGACUGUCAGUUUUUAUAAUAUAGUCAACUGAAUUUCUAAUAGAAAUUGUAUUAAAUCUGUGAAGUGAAGUGAAGUAGCUCAGUCGUGUCUGACUCUUUGCAACCCCGUGGACUAUAGCUCACCAGGCUCCUCNNNNNNNNNNNNNNNNNNNNNNNNNNNNNNNNNNNNNNNNNNNNNNNNNNNUCCAGGGGAUCUUCCCAACCCAGGGAUCAAACCCAGGUCUCCUACAUUGAAGGCAGAUGCUUUAACCUCUGAGCCACCAGGGAGUACUACCAUCUUAACAGUAUUCAAUCUUCUGAUCCAUAAACAUGGGUGACUUUCAUUUAUUUAGAUCUUUGUUAAUUUUUUAACAAUGUUUUUUAGUUUUCAGAGUAUGUUUUACACUUUUUGGAUAAAUUUAUUUCUAAAUAUUUUGUUCUUCUGCUGCUAUUGUGAAAGGAAUUGUCUUCUUACUUUCAUUUUCAAACUGGAAAUGAAGCCACCUGGACAUUUGUUUUCUUUGCAGGUAGUUUUUUUUGAAAACUAAUCUGAUCUCUACACUUGCUAUAAUUUCACUCAGAUUAUCUAUUUUUUUAAAUUAGUUUAGUUUCUUAAAUGAAUCUUUUGAGGAAUUAGUCAUUCCAUCUAAGUUAUCAAUUCAUUGGCAUACAAUAGUUUAUAAUAGUCCUUUCAAUCAUUUUUAUACCUGUAAGAUCAGUAAUAAUGUCCCCUCUAAAUGUCUUGAGUCUCUUUUCUUCUUGGUCAAGCUAGCUGAAUGUUUGCCAAUUUAUCCUUUUAAUUAUUAUAUCUCUCUGAUGAAUUGGCUCCUUCUCAUU
rnacentral:lncRNA from 1 species